rnacentral:rRNA from 1 species
UACAGAGGGGGCAAGCGUUAUUCGGAAUUAUUGGGCGUAAAGGGUGCGUAGGCGGGCCCUUAAGUCAGUGGUGAAAGCUCCGAGCUUAACUCGGAAACUGCCAUUGAUACUAUAGGUCUUGAAUUCGGUCGAGGUUGGCGGAAUGUGUCGUGUAGCGGUGAAAUGCUUAGAUAUGACACAGAACACCGAUUGCGAAGGCAGCUAGCUAGACCGACAUUGACGCUGAGGCACGAAAGCGUGGGGAGCAAACAGG